AAGCUCUGUUUAUGUGACGAGGUCUUGGUGAUGCGGCAUCUAGUUAUUUAUAUCUAUGAAAACAACGGCCACUGGAGGGCGGGGCUGCCCGUGUCGUAGCGACGACGCUGCUCCUCUGUUGGCUCCUGUCACCGCUGACAUCACGAUGAUGAUCAGAUUUGAUGAUCGUUUUGAUAUCAUUGUCUAGCCUAGAUAUCAUCGAAAUCCGAGGUGUAUUGAUUUCUCCACACAAAGAUCUGGGAGCUGUCAGUGUGACUACUUAAGAGACAUCCUUAAUAAACCAGCAAAACCCUAUAUAUAUAUAUAUAUAUAUAUAUAUAUAUAUAUAUAUAUAUAUAUAAGACUGAAGAUGAGAGCAGUCAAAUAUUUAUCAUUAAUGUCAAUUGUUUUAGACACUACAGUGCUCAUCUGCUUUUUGCUGAAAGCUAAUCAGUAGCCAGACCUUUUGUGAUUUUGGGGGUCUCACCACAUCUACCAGAGGGAUGGAAAGAUGGCAGGAGAACAGGAGCAUGCACACUAUGAAUUUGCGGUCAGUGUUUACUGCUGAGCAGCAGCGGAUCCUGGAGCGUUAUUACGAGAAUGGCAUGACCAAUCAGAGCAAGAACUGCUUUCAGCUCAUUCUGCAGUGUGCCCAAGACACCAAACUUGACUUUAGUGUGGUUAGGACUUGGGUAGGAAACAAGAGACGGAAGCUGGCUUCCAAAACAGAUCAAAAUGGAGUCGCCCGUCAAAGUCUUUCCAAAAAUCAUGCUCUGCCUGCAGAUGCCUGGGCACCCGUGUUAGCAGGAGAGAUAGUGGGCACAGAGAGCAAUCCACCAGUGACCCACCUGCUUCCUCCACAGGCCUCAUGCUCCUCAUCCUCCUCUUCUCCAUUGUCUUCCUCCCCGCUCAGCACUGGAAGUGGACCCAACAGUGACAUCAUCUUGACAGGUAUUUACUCCUUGACUCGAAGCACUAACCGCUUUGAUGCUCCCACUCUCAGCAGGACUGGGAAACAAACGUUGCCUUUGCACACCACAAUCGAUCGGCCUGCCCAAGGUUGCACAGCUUUGCACACAGACUCUGCUGUGCAUCAUGCAAUCAGUGCAAGAAUGCAAAGAAAAGUCCCCGUCAGCACCAGCACUCCAAAGUGUAUCCGAUUAUUUAAACAAAUCACAACUACAGACGGAAUUUCACCAAACAGGGCCAAGCAACACAAGACACUGGAGUCACAAACAUGGCCUCAAUCGCUGCCUAGACAAACUGUAGCGUUACGUUGCAGUCCUCCACAGUCUACCACAGACAACAGCACUCCGAUUCAGAAAGUUUUCACCCUGGCGGGAUCAGGGGCGGCGUCACACCUGCCUUUCUCAAAGACCAGUCAAGACAAAGAAACAAUAAAAAAACAGAUGCCUGACAUGUCAGCAAUAUUUUCUAUUGCGAUGGAAACGGGCGAUGCUGAUGAUGAGUACUUAAGAGAAGAGGAAUUGGCAAAUAUGGGCCCGCAAAUACAGUUGAGUAAAGCCAACAGUGGCAGCGUCUGCCAGGCAGAUGGUGUGCGUAGCUCCGGUGUGUUGACCCAAUCAACCACCAUUGUUAAUGAAUCAGACAAUUCUCUCUUUGAGGACAAAGGAUAUCACACCAACAGCUCUUUGACUGAUACAUCCUCCCACAGCAGCUUUUCUUUAAGACCACGCUCGCAGACAUCUUCUGGAACACCCAGUUUCAAGGUAACAAGAAAUAUAUCAGCUCCAUGGCUUCAUACCAACUCCCGAAAAAGAACGCUACAAGACAGGACCCAGUUUAGCGACAAAGAUGUGUACGCACUGAAGAGGUACUGGGACAACGGCAUGACCAGCCUGGGCCUUGUGUGCAAAGAAAAGAUAUCAGCUGCCGCAAAUAAACUCAAUGUGGACAGUGAAAUCAUCAAGACAUGGAUUGGUAACCGCAGAAGAAAGUACCGUUUGAUGGGCAUUGAAAUUCCACCACCUAAGGGUGGACCAGCUAUGUUCUCCAAUCAAACUGAAGCCUAUUCUCCUCAAAACCUUGAAGAUGAAGAUGAAAUUCCUAAACUAGCUGAGGGCUGUGAAGACAAUGGCAUUGUGUCACUCUGUUUGUCUGAUGAUGGAGCUAGUGAUUGCUAUGAAACAAUAAAUGAUUAUGUAAAUGAUGAAUCAGAUAGGUCCAGCGCUGGAGGAAAUGUGAAGAUUGAAAUCACAGAUGAAGAGGACAAUGGUGACAUAUUGAAUGCAGAGAUGGAACAGCUGCAAACAUUCUUGGAGUUCAAGCUCAUCUGUGAACUACGACUCUUUGAUCAGUAGGAAGUACUGCUCGAUCUAAAACCACUACGAGAUUGAAUCGCGUAUCCUGGAGAGGUGAGGUCUCUGAGUCCCAACAUUUCAAUACUGGGGUGCCUCAGGGCUCAGUGCUUGGACCGCUGCUCUUUUCCAUAUACAUGACAUCCCUAGCUUCUGUCAUUCAGAAACAUGGCUUUUCCUAUCACAUGCAGCUGAACCUUGCAAAACAUAACUGCUUGUAAUCUUGGCCGACCCAAAGAUUCAUCACAACCUCUCCAUUCAACUAGGCUCAUCAGCCAUUACACCUUCUAGAACGGCCAGAAACCUGGGAGUGGUAAUUGAUGAUCAGCCAUACUUCACGGAUCAUGUUGCCAGCACCACCAGGUCCUGUAGAUUCAUCCUUUACAUUUACAUUUAUACAUUUGCCAGACAAUUUUAUCCAAAGCGACUUACAUUGCAUUAUACUAUAUAUUUGUUUCUGUGUAUGUGCAAUCCCUGGGAUCGAACUCAUGACCUUGGCAUUGCUAUCACCAUGCUCUAGCCACUGAGCUACAGGAAUGCACUAAGGCUGAGGCCUGCCUCUCCUUCCGGUACUUCUGCUCCAGGUUUCUCUCUGACUCCUCCACACCACCCUGGAUUUAGUUGGUUUUCCUCUUCCUGGUCGUUAGCCUGCCUUCUGAACUUCCUGCCAUCCUUCUGUUCCUAAUGAAGAAGUACAGUUUCUUGAGGAGGAGCUGCACAACCAAAAGCGGAAGUUCUCAAAGCUUCAGAGCUUUACUAGAACCCUGCUGAUAGCUGUGAAAAAUAAUGACCAAAAGAAACAGGAGGACCUGUUUGCCAGUC